GUGCCAGCCGCCGCGGUAAUACGUAGGUGGCGAGCGUUGUCCGGAAUUACUGGGCGUAAAGGGCGUGUAGGCGGCCAUUUAAGUCAGAUGUGAAAUACCAUGGCUUAACCAUGGGACUGCAUUUGAGACUGGAUGGCUUGAGGAUCGGAGAGGGCAGUGGAAUUCCCAGUGUAGCGGUGAAAUGCGUAGAUAUUGGGAGGAACACCAGUGGCGAAGGCGACUGCCUGGACGACACCUGACGCUGAGGCGCGAAAGCUAGGGGAGCAAACGGGAUUAGAUACCCCGGUAGUCCUAGCCGUAAACGAUGGGUACUAGGUGUGGGAGGUAUCGACCCCUUCCGUGCCGCAGUUAACACAAUAAGUACCCCGCCUGGGGAGUACGGCCGCAAGGUUGAAACUCAAAUGAAUUGACGG
rnacentral:rRNA from 1 species